AGCUGAGUUUGAUCCUGGCUCAGAUUGAACGCUGGCGGCAUGCCUUACACAUGCAAGUCGAACGGCAGCACGGGUGCUUGCACCUGGUGCGAGUGGCGGAACGGGUGAGUAAUACAUCGGAACGUACCUUAUCGUGGGGGAUAACGCAGCGAAAGCUGUGCUAAUACCACAUACGCCCUGAGGGGAAGCGGGGGAUCGAAAGACCUCGCGCGAUUAGAGCGGCCGAUGCCUGAUU
rnacentral:rRNA from 1 species